UAAAAACACUAAAAAUAUAUUCAGAUAAUACCAAUAUUUGAAAAAUAUGAGCCAGGAACGUAUUGCAAGAGUAUUACCAGCAAUUUAGCAGUUCUUGAAUCAGAUAAACCGCAGGGACCGUCCAGGAUGGAUAUGGAUACAGUGUUGCAGAAACUGUGAUCUCUGGCUGUCGGCUGUGAGGUUGGCGUGCGUCCCAGACCUCACUCUGAGUGAUGCACGCUGUUGGCCGAUCGGUCCCCAGAUCUUGGGAUGUUACACUCUCGGUGGAAAGGAGAAGAAAUCCUUUGCUGCUGGUUUCAAAAUUCUGCAUCCGUAUCCUGCUCAGUCUGAUAUGGUCUAA